rnacentral:misc_RNA from 1 species
CCGUGGGGAUUCGUCUCCAUUAAGAUAGCACCCUUUGUUUAUGAGUACCAUUUGUUUCCUCGGCGGGCCUGCCCGUCGCUAGGACCUACAAAUAAACCUUUGCAAUAGCAGUAUCCUCAGUAAAAUAAACUAAUAUCA